GGAAUUUAAGAAACUGUUUCUUGACUUUUAAUUAAAAAAGCUAAGAACCAGUUCUUAAAGUCCUUAUUUAAGAACCGGUUCUUAGCUUUUUUAGUUAAAAGUUAAGAAAUAGUUUCUUAACUUCC
rfam:Brassica oleracea var. oleracea cultivar TO1000 chromosome C3, whole genome shotgun sequence